GGGUAUCACACACACACACACACACACACACACACCAUGGGAUCCAUCUGUCUCUGCCCACCAGCCCUGGGUGUCACACACACACACACACACACACACACACACCAUGGGAUCCAUCUGUCUCUGCCCACCAGCCCUGGGUAUCACACACACACACACACACAUAUACACACACACACCAUGGGAUCCAUCUGUCUCUGCCCACCAGCCCUGGGUAUCACUCACACACACACACACACACACACACACACACACACACACACACACCAUGGGAUCCAUCUGUCUCUGCCCACCAGCCCUGGGUAUCACUCACACACACACACACACACACACACACACCCACACACACACACACACACCAUGGGAUCCAUCUGUCUCUGCCCACCAGCCCUGGGUGUCACACACACACACACACACACACACACACACACACACACCAUGGGAUCCAUCUGUCUCUGCCCACCAGCCCUGGGUAUCACUCACACACACACACACACACACACACACACACACACACCAUGGGAUCCAUCUGUCUCUGCCCACCAGCCCUGGGUGUCACACACACACACACACACACACACACACCAUGGGAUCCAUCUGUCUCUGCCCACCAGCCCUGGGUAUCUCACACACACACACACACACACACACACACACACACACACACCAUGGGAUCCAUCUGUCUCUGCCCACCAGCCCUGGGUAUCACUCACACACACACACACACACACACACACACACACACCAUGGGAUCCAUCUGUCUCUGCCCACCAGCCCUGGGUGUCACACACACACACACACACACACACACACACACACACACACACACACACAUGGGAUCCAUCUGUCUCUGCCCACCAGCCCUGGGUGUCACACACACACACACACACACACACACACACCAUGGGAUCCAUCUGUCUCUGCCCACCAGCCCUGGGUGUCACACACACACACACACACACACACACACACACACACACACACACACCAUGGGAUCCAUCUGUCUCUGCCCACCAGCCCUGGGUAUCUCUUACACACACACACACACACACACGGCUUUGUGUGGGUUCUAAAGAUCUGACCUUAUCCCUCAUAUUUGCCUAGUACUUCCCUUACUGUGCCAUCAUCUUCCAGCCCCAGAUUAUGAGUGGUGCUCUCUACCUGCUUCUCCCUACUUCCCUUCCUUCCCUCCAAGUCCUCCGACACCACUCUGCUCUCCUUCCAAGCAUGGCCUCAGUAAUUGUUCCUAUAUGCUCAUAUGUAUAUGCACAUACAUGUAUACUCCCAAACAACCUGCUCACUCAGCCUGUACAAUGCCACCUACAUGCCUGCCUUCAGGGCUGGCAACCUGGCCCUAGAUGACCCAUCUGUGCUCCUCUCCAGUAAGACCCUCUUGUGCCUUCAGUAUUGCCCGGUUUCCUGUAGUUCCGUGUGUGGGGCUAGGGCCUCUGGGUCUUUCACCUGUCCUCUUUGACAUGUCCUUGUCAUUU
rnacentral:lncRNA from 1 species